UACGGAGGGUGCAAGCGUUGUUCGGAAUCAUUGGGCGUAAAGCGCGUGUAGGCGGUUUCGUAAGUCUGAUGUGAAAGCCCGGGGCUUAACCCCGGAAGUGCAUUGGAUACUGUGAAACUAGAGGACGAGAGAGGGAAGCGGAAUUCCUGGUGUAGGGGGGAAAUCCGUAGAUAUCAGGAGGAACGUCGGAGGCGAAGGCGGCUUCCUGGCUCGUAACUGACGCUGAGACGCGAAAGCGUGGGUAGCAAACAGG
rnacentral:rRNA from 1 species